ensembl:lncRNA
UUUUUUUUUUUUUUUUUUUUUUUUGAGAUGGAGUUUCACUCUUGUUGCCCAGGCUGGAGUGCAAUGGCGCAGUCUCGGCUCACUGCAACCUCCGCCUCCCAGGUUCAAGCAGUUCUUCUGUCUCAGCCUCCCAAGUAGCUGGGAUUACAGGCAUGUACCACCACACCCGGCUAAUGUAUUUUUAGUAGAGACGGGGUUUCUCAAUGUUGGUCAGGCUGGUCUCAAACUCCUGACCUCAGAUUAUCCGCCUGCUUUGGCCUCCCAAAGUGCUGGGAUUACAGGCAUGAGCCACUGAGCCCAGCCUAAUUUUUGUAUUUUUAGCAGAGACGGGGUUUCUCUAUGUUAACUAGGCUGGUCUCGAACUCCUGACGUCAAGUGAUCUACCUGCCUCAGCCUCCCAAAGUGCUGGGAUUACAGGCGUGUGCCACCUUGCCUGGCCCCUUGGUCAACUUUUAUCCCCUGCCAACCUAAUAGGGUCACUCCCUGGGAAGGGGUGCUGGGAUCUAGAACCCAGCAUUCCCUGUUCCAGCAGGAAUCCCUGCAUGAGGUCUAGGGAGCUGACACACUGCAUCUAUGUCUAGCUUCAUGGCACUGGAGAGCAGCAAGAACUCCAGGGGCAGCGGGCACCCAGCUGCCCCUCAAGCUGCUGAGCCUGUCAGAAGGGCACUGCACUGUUUCCUCCAUUCACUCCUUCACCCAAGACACAUUGAUCAGGCAACUACUCUGGGGCAGGCCCUGUGCCAGGCACUCAGAUGCAGCUGGAAAAGAGGCAGAUGGGGCCCAUGCCCUUGUAGGACUAGUGGUUUGGCAAGAGUUAGGUGUUAAGCACAUAAUCAUUUAAUUGCAGAUAUGAAAAGUGUUUGGAGGACAUGGCAUCUUUGAGAAAAGAGAGGUCUCAUAUGGUGCAUUCUCUUUCCUUUUUUGAGACAGGGUCUUGUUUUUUUACCCAAGCUGGAAUGCAGUGGCACGAACACAGUUCACAGCAGCCUCGACCUCCAGGGUGUAAGUGAUCCUCUGGCUUCAGCCCCCACAAGUAGCUGGCACCAUCACACUCCACUAAUUUUUGUAUUUUUUGUAGAGAUGAGGUUUCACCAUGUUGCCCAGGCUGUUCUCAAACUUCUGGACUUAAGCAAUUCUCCUGCCUUAGCCUCCCAAAAUGCUAGGAUUAUAGGCGUGAGCCACUGUGCCCUGUCAUAUGGUGUAUUUUCUAGAUAACUGAAGGUCCUCGUUGAAGGAAUGAAAUAUAAGGGGCUGGAAGAGGAAGAAGAGGGCGAAAAGUCAAGUCUCUCUGAAUUGCACCACUUAUGUUCUCAGUUAUCAGUUUCACGGUGCAACCUUUGACCUGAUGCAUUCUUGUUCUGGGCUGUGAGGUGCUUCUACUGUUUUGGGCUCUCUCUGUUUUGUGUGUGUGUUGUUGUUGUUGUUUUCUUUUUUUUUUUUUUUUUUUUUUUUUUUUGAGAUGGAGUAUCUCUCUGUCACCCAGGCUGGAGUGCAAUGGCACAAUCGCAGCUCACUGCAACCACCACCUCCCAGGUUCAAGCGAUUUCCCUGCCUCAGCCUCCCAAGUAGCUGGGACUACAGGUGCACAUCACCAUGCCUGGUUAAUUUUUGUAUUUUUAGUAGAGACGGGAUUUCACCAUGUUGGACAGGCUGGUCUCUAACUCCUGACCUCAGUUGACUCACCCGCCUCCGCCUCCCAAAAUGCUGUGAUUACAGGUGUGAGCCACCGCGCCUGACCUCCCUGUUUUUUUGGUGUCACAUCUCUUUCCUCACAGUCUGACCAUUGGUACCACUUCUCCCAGGGGAAGGGAUUUGGCUUUUGGAGUGUCACCUGUGCUGUUCUGCUACUGCACAUCCUAUGACUGGUCACCAGAAGGCCAGGUGGGGAACUUGUGUGCAAUCCUUCCCUGCUGGGGUGGAUCAGACCUAAGCUUCACCAGGAACCCAGGCCUGGAGUCCCUGCGGGCCUGGGAGC